CGUAACUGGUUACCAAACAGUGGGACAUGACAAUGGUCACGAGCAAUAUACGGGUACCAGUUAAAUAUGGUUGUUUCAAAAUUACACGUGCAACGAACUUUCGGCUGGAAUAUUUUUAAAAUGCCCUUCUUUUGAAUAAUUUGCGGUUGAAACUUGAAAAUAUCACAAUUACUGACGUCAGAUUCCAGCAUUCGUAAUCGUCCACCCAACUUCCACCUCAGAGAUGAAAGGGCGUCCUUGUGGCAGGCUUGCCUUGACUGUCUUCUACAUUUAAGAAUGUUGUUACGGACACUGCAACUCGCUGGUCAACAAGAGCUAGUCAUCUGGGAUAUCAGUGGAAUCCACCACAUCAGCCAUGCAUCAACUGAUCUUUCUGCAACUUGUCAUCCACGGAACUAGAGGUCAUCAAGUACAGGACAGGACUUGAAUUCACCACAUGCAUCAUGUAUCAACUCCUGAGGCUUCAACCAUCUGUGGCACCGCAUCAAGAGGACAAUGGAACCCACCACAUCAGCCAUGCAGCAACUGAUUAACUUUUUGAGACUUGUCAUCAACGUACCAGAGGUAAACGAUUACAGGACACUGUCUUGAAUCCACCACAUGCAUCGUGUAUCAACUGAUUAACCUCCCGAGGCUUGAGUCAUCCACCACACCACAUCACAGGACAUUAGUAGAAUCCACCACAUCAGCCGUACAUCAACUGAUCAACUUUCUGUUACUUGUCAAUGUUAUCCACCAUACUACAGGUCAUGAAUCACAGUACAGGACAGGACUUGAAUUCACCACUUGCAUCAAUGGCAGGAUAUUUGUCAUACCAGACCCCUUCGCAUAUUCCCUGGAGGACAUCCAUCACAUUCCGCGGUGCAUCAACUGCGGUGCAUCCACUGCGGUGAAACUACUACACAUUCAGUGGAAUGGCAUCAACUGAUCAACCCCUCCAAAGACAUGAGCCAUCUGCCAGUGCACACCUUACUGUUGCCUUUUCUCCUAUGGUCAUAUGGCAUGUGGUACAAUACAUGUAAGAUGCUGUGGAUAUUUUGUACAUGUGAUGGAUGACUAGAACACUACAAGUCCCUAUUGGAUCUAUCAUAAACUCUCCUGAACAUCUUGUGACCUCCGUGUAUCGGACACACUUUGAGUUUUCCCGGGAACAUGAGAUCUUCCCUGGCCUCACUGAUGACAUCAAUCUGAGAACAAUGAACACUAUAUGUGCAGUGAUGUGAACACUUCACAAAUAUGGAGACCUCUGGACAAAGUGGACUUGAUGAAGACAAGUUUUGAAAAAUGAAAAGACUUAACCAACCCUCACAGAAUGUCAAUAAAAUUUGGAAUACAAUUUCGUAAAUUAUGAAAUUGGGUGUCUGUUGCGAUCAGGAAACCUGAAAAUCGAAGUACAUGUGAAACGAGAUGAACAAAAAAUGUUCACAAACGAACUCCUUGAAGCGAGCAACAUGUAGAAAUUGGCUUCUGCUGGCAAUUUUCAAAUUCUACUGUAUGUCAGUUGUCACACUAGAACGUUAUUUUUUUUUUUGGGGGGGGGGAUAAAACACGAACCAGAAUUUCCUGAAGUCCUUUCAAAACUGAAUUUAAAAACCACUGGUUAAUUCUGUGAGGGCUGGUCGCCUCUAUUUUUUUUUUUUUUUUUUUAGUAAUGCCUGUUGGGUGCUGGGUACUAGACUAUGGUAAAUAUCUAUUGAGCAAAAAAGCCGUCAUUACUCCAAUUGCGAUAACCAAAAAGAUUUUCAGAUCCAGAAACUUAGAAAUUUUAAUUGUUGCACAUCUAAAAAGUGUGAUGUGCGUGCGUGUUCUACAUCCACUAUAAUAAUUCAUGAUUAAAAUCUUUGUGAUCAAUGUUUUUUACAGCGCAAUUUAUCUGGAUUAUCUGAUGAUCAAGGCAUAAUGAUUCUUAAUUCAUUCUUGUGGACACUGAAACAUGAAAAUGUUGAUAUAGCACACAUGUAAUUUUGAUUUUAAAAAAUCAAUUUACCAGUCAUGUACCCAGCAUUUUAAGUAUAAUCAGUACUGGCACGUUACUAUAUAUGAACUUAAAAUAAUGCAAGCGAUCAAAUGACAUCUUGGAUCUUUCACAAAGUUGAAUUUUUAUUUCCAAACCCUGUAAACCCUCCUUUUUUUUCUCUUUUUUUUUUUACCAACAAUCUAGUAUUGCUGAGACUGCCAAAAAAAAAAUCUUUAUUCUUCAAGGCUAUUUCUCUUUUUGAAAUAUAUUUAGUUUAUAUAUUUUAGCUCAUUAUUUAAUACCAUGCAAAUAGUUUCCUAAAGAAUUAGCUAAAAGGCAGUCUGGAUCCUAUUCAGAUAAACAAAUGUUUUUUUGUGUGCAUAAUUACAAGUUAUAAAUUCACAAAGUUUUCAAAUUGCUGAAUUUUUCAAAUUUAAGGUUGCAUUAGCACAUGUUAAAUAAGGAACUUGAAGUUGCUCUACCUGUGCUAUUUUUUUUAGUUUCAUCCUCCCCAAAAAAGAUUUUGUUUGUAAACUGAUAUUUUGAUAGCAAUACAAAAGUUGUUUGCUUUUGAAUGAGACAUCAAACCCAAAAAAUUCGUCCACAUUUAGUUAUGAAAUAAGUACCUUACAGUAUUCGAAGUAUUUGCUGACUUUAAAAUCAGGCAUAUCAUUUUGUGUAUUAUGGGCUCAAAAUCAACUCCUAAAUAAAAGCCAAGAGUGUUAAGGUCAAAAAGAGAAAAAAAAAUUUGUUUUUGGAUAUGGAAACAUACAAAUUGAAAAUUUGUUAGAAGAAAAAAUAUUGAAUACGUUGAAGAACACGGGUAGAGCAACUUUAACUUAAAACUUUUUUCUGUGCCAAGUGCUGAUUAUACAUGUACAUGUAAACAUGAAGCCACUGUUAACACAACAUUAUAUUUGUCAUUUAAAACCAACAGGCAAUGUAAAAGAAAACCAUUCUAAGCACCCCGGUGCAUACAAGUCCUCCCUGGUGUGGGCUGCGUGUUCCCCGUCCACGGGCGCCGACAGGUUCCGGUGGGUUGCUCUGCUGCAUUACUCAUGAUCAGUGUGUUUGGGAUGUGUACAGCAUCUGGAUCAUAGAUGUCCAAGUCGACUGCAACAUGGUAAGGAUCCUUUGAACUUUGACAGUUGGUUUAUUUUCUACGAAGCAGAUGUCGAUGUAUCCGCAACUCUUAACUUUGCAAAUCAAAGGAACGAUUUUGUGCAACUGCUCUGACAUUGCUCGCUCGAUAUUGAAGAUGUUCCAUUACAUUGUGGCCUUUGAUCCAAUCGAAUGAAGCGUUUAUGAGUGGUUACUUUUUGUUGGCUUUCUCUGAUGUUUUUUAGUGUUUGUGGAUUUUUAAGGCAGUUUUGUAGGUCCCUGUUAUGGAUAACUUCCAUGGUUUUAACUCUGAAACUUCCAUGCCUAUUGUUGUAUUGACAUGUUCCAAAAACAAUUUCUUGCGCAUUGUGCAGUGUUGAAUUCUAAUGAAUGGUAUUAGACUUUAAAAUGUCAUUUAAGUGAUUAACUGCAUCUGAAUACUCAAAAGUCUUUUAGAAGAUUGAAAUGAAACUCUACUUGCCACAAAUUUUCACUUUAAAAUGAACGCUACUUCAGUUAAUGCGUUUCAGAAAAAAAAAUUUAAACAAGUUCAAGUCAAAGAGCAUUCCCAAAAUGCAUCAACCAAAUUCUUAAAUGUUUUCAAAAAGUAAACUAUUUUCCAAGCUAAGCAAGUAAAUUGAGAUCAUCAGUUUUCCAAGAAAAAAAAUCAGUUUUCCAAGAAAAAACAAAUUGACCGUUUUUCAUUCUCUCAAUCUUGGCAUUAUAAUAUCGAAAAAAUGUUAAUUUAUGAUCUGAUGGAAUCAAAGUAUUUUGGGCAGUUACAAAGCACUUGUAGCUAGAAAUAUUUUCAGGAGCCCAUACUGCCAAAAAAAAAGAGGAAACGACCAGAGAAAAGACAAUUGCCAAACUCUUGAAACUGCUCUGGAGAAGCCCCUGGUGUGCAGAAGGGGAGAACCAUGCUGUGAGAUUGCUCGGUGGACGAUGUACCCAUGCAGGCCAUUCACUCAAAUUGUAGGGGGCACGCAUUUGUUUCUGAAUUUGCCAUCACAUUUUGGAUGUUCAAAAAAGAAGAAAAUUUGAAAAAAAAUAAAUGAAAAUUCAAAAUUCAAAUCUUUGAGAUGACGGAUUGUUUAAAGUCAGGUUUUUUUGCCCAAAUGCAAAAGAAAUUUGACAUACAUACAUGCAAAAAGCAAAUUUUUGAUCCUUGAAAUUAGCCAAAAAUUAUGAAUGAUUUUUUUCAGCCUCUAUUGAGGCAUCAUUUGUUAUUUAGUGGGGGUCAGCAAUCUCCCAAUAUUGUGAGUUUAAGAACUUAUGCCCCAUUCCCAAGGGGAAUUGUAAAAAAGUCCAUAAAUUUGGACACAAAUCUCUUGGAAAAUGAAUUCUAAAAGUUCCAAAAAGUAGGGGAAAAUUUGAAUCAGAAAAGUUGAGUUCAAGGAAAAAAAACCCACAAAUGCGUGUGCCCCUAAAAGAAAGAGUGAAUGGCGGGUUGAGAUUGGGUCGCAAUCUGCCUGUCAGUGUCCUACCCAGAAACUGUGGCAUCAGGCACGGGGGGCCAGUCCCGAGAACUCGUUCCAUGGUAAGUUUAAUUGAAGUUUGUAGAAUUAAUUCAUGCACUACUGAUACAUCCUCAAUGUGUUGCUUGAUAAACCCAGGGUAUAUAUCUCAUGGCUAGAUUUGUACGCUUUCUACAUAAACCAAAGCAGUAUUGCACAGAUAGUCUUCAGUCUUCGGCAAAACCAAGUAGGAGUGAUGCGAAACUUGAUCAAGGCAUUGACAAUGCCAAACUGAAUCCUGCAAAGGUUGCAAAUAAUUUCAAAAAUUGUAAAAUUAUCUUGAAUCUUGCGUUGCUUAAAAUAGCCUGUGAUGCAUCAAGGUUGUGUGCAUUGACAACUGAAAUACUUCAGCAUCCAUGUUGAAGUUCUGAAAGCAUUUGUGCAUCUUUUUUCCCCCACACUGGUAAUGCACUUAUGUUAUCCAGCUGGUCCAUGUUACAUCUAAAGUUGCUCUCGUUGGGGGCCUAGUUAUUAUAAAAAGCAAGUUUUCAGAUUCUUUGACUUGCCUGUCCAAAUGCUGCAAGUGCUGCUCUCAUGGCUUUAAAAGCAUAAAUUUGUUUGACAGAGAGGGAGAAAUGCACAUCAUGUCUGAGACAUUGGUAUUACAAAUCCCAUCUGUAGCUGUAAAAGAAGCUCACCAGGCAUGGCUCUCACAGACGACCAUUAUGGGUCAGGCCAAGACCUGAUUUUCUGAAAAUCCUGCAUGGUCCCUGGCAUAUGAAAUGAUAAAAUUUAUUCACGCUUGGGUGAUAGCAGAGCUUUAAAAUCCUGCUCCGAGUCCAAAUUACCCAUUACAGAAAUGCAGACAGAAUAGGGCUCGUUGCAUCUGUAGCUGAAACAGUAAAAAAUAAGAAAGAGAUCCUGAAUCCAUUUUUUUUUAAAUCUCUUUUUGGUGAAACCUAAAAUAGUUUCAAAAUUGUUAAGUCUGCCCAAUUUGAGCAGUUUACUGCCAACGCAAUGCAGUGUCACCUCACUGUGAACGUGAGUCAUUUGUCAUAUUCUCUAUUUUUUUUCUCACUUUUUUUAAUACAUGGAAGCAUAGUUUCCUAGUCAAUGCCUUGAUCAAGUUAAAUGCUCCAGUUUUCUGUUCUUAAUCCUGAACUAGCCGAGUACAUUUCGCUCAACCUUGUGGUCCCCAAGAGCUUUCCCUAGAAAAUUUCUCAUUGCUUAAGUUUUGCACUUGCUGAGCUAGAGAGCAAGUUAACUUUGUAAGAAAGUCAAUAGUUAGAGAAAUAUCCAAACCAAACCUGCAGCAAACAAGAAGUAAUUAUUUUCAUACAUAUCUAUUGUGCAGAGUCCUCCUAAAUUGAUCCCGGGCUAAAAUCCAGGGCUAAAAUCAAGGUGGCAUCAAUUGGCUGUACGCUGCCAUCAUAUUCUCUUGACACUGGUUUUUAAACCGGUAGACCUGUGUGCAGUUGGAGGGUCCGGUAUGAUCCAAAUUUAAUCCAAUGACUCUGUGAGAGCUUAAAAUCUCAUGUCAUUAACUGCAGAGUUUAUCUUCGGCGAUAAUCCGAUUCCCGGGCGCCAGAAGACAUUCUAGCAGCACACCAUUGUGUUGAAACUGUCAGAAAUGCAGCCAGUUAAAAUUAAAGCCGAAUGCUUGAUUAUAGGUCUCAUUUGGAUUUAAUGAAAUGUGAACAUAACAGACUAAAUUUGUAGAUGACUCAAAUGUCCUAUUUUGUACUUCGUGUACAGUAUUCUUGCGUCCCCGAAAACUGCUCAGUACCGUCCAGAAAUAAAAGCUUUGAUUCAGAUCGUUUUUGCUCUAGAGCCUUGUUCAUUUGGCUUGCGAUUGUCAGUGUUGGCAUCACAGAAUUCAAUGCCAACAGAUUUAUGUUAAAGUGAAGAA
rnacentral:lncRNA from 1 species